AGUUUGAUCCUGGCUCAGGACGAACGCUGGCGGCGUGCCUAAUGCAUGCAAGUCGCACGCACCCGCUUCGGCGGGUGAGUGGCGCACGGCUGAGUAACACGUGGGAACCCGCCCCCCGGUGGGGGAUAACGCGACGAAAGUUGCGCUAAUCCCGCAUACGUCCUUCGGGGGAAAGCGCAGUGCGCGCCGGGGGAGGGGCCUGCGGCCCAUCAGGUCGUUGGUGGGGUAAUGGCCUACCAAGCCGAUGACGGGUAGCUGGUCUGGGAGGAUGACCAGCCAGACUGGGACUGAGACACGGCCCAGACUCCUACGGGAGGCAGCAGCAAGGAAUUUUCGGCAAUGGGCGCAAGCCUGACCGAGCAACGCCGCGUGCGGGAUGACGGCCUUCGGGUUGUAAACCGCUUUUCGGGGGGACGACCCUGACGGUACCCCCGGAAUCAGCCCCGGCUAACUCUGUGCCAGCAGCCGCGGUAAGACAGAGGGGGCGAGCGUUGUCCGGAGUCACUGGGCGUAAAGCGCGCGCAGGCGGCAACCUAAGUGUCGUGUGAAAGCCCCCGGCUCAACCGGGGGAGGCCAUGGCAAACUGGGUCGCUCGAGCUGCGGAGAGGCCCCUCGAAUUGCCGGUGUAGCGGUGAAAUGCGUAGAGAUCGGCAGGAAGACCAAGGGGGAAGCCAGGGGGCUGGCCGCANGCUGACGCUGAGGCGCGACAGCGUGGGGAGCAAACCGGAUUAGAUACCCGGGUAGUCCACGCCGUAAACGAUGACCACUCGGCGUGUGGCGACUAUUGACGUCGCGGCGCGCCCUAGCUCACGCGAUAAGUGGUCCGCCUGGGAACUACGAGCGCAAGCUUAAAACUCAAAGGGAAUUGA
rnacentral:rRNA from 1 species